UGACAGUUACUGCCACAAAUAUGAAAAAUGUUGUGACAAUGGAUGUGGGCGUACGUGCGUGACAGCGAUUGGCGUUGUUCUUUGGCGUUUUGGUUGAUAUCUGUCAAAGAAAGUAGGAGGUGAAGAAAAACUCAGCAAGACAACUGGCUGCCGUUCCUGCAGAGAGCCCUGCUGAUUCAACAAUCUUCAACCACACUAAAUCCUACAUCCUUGGCUGUACUGUCUGGGUUUCUUUCAUGUCAAAAUACAUCAAGAUUUAAAAAAAAAA